CUCAGUCUUAUUGAGGGAAGACAGACUUUAAAAAAUAAAUUAAAAUUGAUAAAAUGGCUCCAAAAGAAGAAGUUACUUCAAGCCAAAAGAAAAUGCAAACUCUGCAAAAAGAGGAUGAAACUGAAGGAAAACGCAAACGUUGACGGACUGCAGUGGCAGUGCCGACGUAAUAAACACAGAGGGAAAACGACGAGGAAGUCAGUGAGGUGCGGGUCACUGUUUGAGAGGAGCAAAUUGUCCCUAUUCAGCUGGAUGAAAUACAUUUAUAGGUUUUCCCAGGGGCUGCAGUUAAGGCAAAUUGAUAUGCUUCAGGAAGGUGUGGCAGGAAGCAGUCGGACGCUGUGAAAGAUGAGCUACAAAUUGAGAAAAGUAUGCCAGAGGGCAAUCAAGAGGAGAGAAAGAAGGGGAAAGCAGAGAAUUGGAAGAGGGAAUGAAUUUGUGAUGCUGGACGAAAGCAACUUCUACCACAAAAGGAAGUAUGGAAGGGGGAGAUUUGGAGCUACCUGGAGGAGGAGAAAAUGGGUCUUCGGAAUGCUGGGAAUCAAAGGAAGAAGGAGAAGACCCAUCCUCAGGCUGGUGACGAAAAGGUCAAGGCGCUACUUAAUUCCGCUGGUCACAAAAUACAUCCGUCAAGGGACCACAGUUCUCACGGACAGGUGGCGGGUCUACAUGACUGCACUGGCACAGAGUGGCUAUUGCCGCUUUUCCACUGCAUGGUACCAGCUCGACACGACUCGACUCGACUCGACUCAGCUCGCAUUUUUUGCGUUUCCACCGCGAAAACAUGGUAUCUGGUACCUGAAGUGGCUGCUUUUUCUAGUACCGCCUCGCUCUAGGUUCCAAGCGGCUGAGCCGAUGCUAAAAGGUGAUGUCGGCAGACGGCCGGCCACUGAUUGGCCAGAGAGUGUGACGAAGUCACGAGAGCGACAUGGCAACCAUGCUGGUAAAAGCCAUAGCAGCGCCGCAGCCAACAUAUUCCUAUUCUUCAACUUCUUCAACAUGCCAGCUAAUAAUAGUAAUGUUAUCGAUGUCCUCCAUUGUUGUUAUGAGGGUUCUGUCCAUGUGUGGGUUGCGUAGGUGUUGUUUGCGUCGCGUACAAAAAUACGUCACGGCCCUUUCGCGCAGCCGACCCCGCCCACGUCCAGGAGGUACUAUUUGCGGUGGAAAGCGACCCGUGCUGCUACCGUGUCGAGUCGUGUCGAGUCGAGUCGAGUCGAGUCGAGUCGAGCUACAUGUGCGGUGGAAAAGCGACAUAUGUACAUUUUUCUGUAAACCACAGCCAGUCAUUCGUCAACCCAGUCACAGGAGCCCAUACCCAAAACAUUGAGCGGGCUUGGUCAGCCUACAAAUCCAAGGUGUGGAGACUGCGGGGAAACCGCACAGAGAGGACACUUAAGAGCCAUCUCUCAUUUAUCGAGUGGACUCAUUAGUUGGCGAAUGACCACAAAGACGGUCCCCUUGGCAGAUUGCUGCAUGACAUUCGCCACGAACUCCAUCAAUAACAUUUCAUUGAGUUUUGUUGAUGUAGACAGCUCUUUUCUUGUUUGGUUUUUUCAGUGUUCAUUGUUCUUGAGAAAUGCCUUGUUAAAAGUGCAGCCUUUAUUUUUGUUCCAUUUUAAAAUGCCUUUUUUUGUUUCUGUUUGUGUUUUAAAUUGUUAAUAUUUUCUGUAUUACCUU
ensembl:lncRNA